rnacentral:rRNA from 1 species
GACGAACGCUGGCGGCGUGCCUAAUACAUGCAAGUAGAACGCUGAAGAGAGGAGCUUGCUCUUCUUGGAUGAGUUGCGAACGGGUGAGUAACGCGUAGGUAACCUGCCUGGUAGCGGGGGAUAACUAUUGGAAACGAUAGCUAAUACCGCAUAAAAUGGAUUAUCGCAUGAUAACCCAUUGAAAGGUGCAAAUGCAUCACUACCAGAUGGACCUGCGUUGUAUUAGCUAGUUGGUGGGGUAACGGCUCACCAAGGCGACGAUACAUAGCCGACCUGAGAGGGUGAUCGGCCACACUGGGACUGAGACACGGCCCAGACUCCUACGGGAGGCAGCAGUAGGGAAUCUUCGGCAAUGGACGGAAGUCUGACCGAGCAACGCCGCGUGAGUGAAGAAGGUUUUCGGAUCGUAAAGCUCUGUUGUAAGAGAAGAACGAGUGUGAGAGUGGAAAGUUCACACUGUGACGGUAGCUUACCAGAAAGGGACGGCUAACUACGUG